rnacentral:rRNA from 1 species
UACGUAGGGACCGAGCGUUGUCCGGAUUCAUUGGGCGUAAAGAGCUCGUAGGCGGCCAUUCAAGUCGAACGUGAAAUCUCGGGGCUCAACUCCGAGCCUGCGUUUGAUACUGGGCGGCUAGAGUCUGGUAGGGGGAUCUGGAAUUCCUGGUGUAGCGGUGAAAUGACGUAGAUAUCGGGAGGAACACCAGUGGCGAAGGCGGUUACCUGGAGCUUUGCUGACGCUGAUGCGCGAAAGCGUGGGUAGCGAACAGG